rnacentral:tRNA from 1 species
AAUCCAUUGGUCUUAGGAACCAAAAACCUUGGUGCAACUCCAAAUAAAAGUA